GUUGUGGUGGUAGAGGGAGACGGCAGCUGGCGGUGGCGUCCCUCACCUCUCUUCUGUGUGGCCUCUCUCCUGUCUCACCUCUCUCCUCUGUGGCGGCGUCUGCUCCUACCCUCGCCGCCUCGCGUUUUUCUAACACCAGAAGAAUUAUAGAAUUAUACUUGUAUUGGCAACAGUGACUUAAGCUCACAGGGGUGAUAGGAGACAUUUAAAAUCAACACCCUUGUACCAUAAUGGUUAUCCUGUGGAUGGUACUUGCACUGCAUCAGUACAAAACCUUGAAGCUCUUCUCGGCAUCCUGACCUAUACAUUCUGUGCAGCCUGUGGAUAAUACUUGUACAGCAUCAACGCAAAGCCUUGAAACUCUUCUCAGCAUCCUGACUGCUAUUUUCUUGGCAGCCUGUGGAUGCAAGUUAACCAUUCCAUUUAAUAUUUUCAUGUGCACCACUUUUGGAAGUACUGUUUUCCUUAGCACAUUAUUAUUAUUAUUAUCUAACAAACUAAAACGUUCACCCAUGAUAAAAGAAUUGUGCAUCCUAUAUUGGACAUUUAUUGAAUAUUAAUUUUGCAUUUUGCACAGUGUGUUUAUACUCGGUGUAUAAUAUAUAAUGGUGGCAAGUGUUUAAUAUACAGUGGUGGUAAUAUUGAAAAUAAAAAAAGAAAUUUUCUAGCCAUUUUACCAAAUAAUAAAAUAUCUGACUUGCCAUCGUCAUUAUCGACCUGUAGUGUGUGCGCACGUGACAAUAUUUAGAACUUCUGUCAUUAAUUAAAAAAGAUUAUCAAUUUGCAGGAAAUGCAAUAAUUUUGUUGACAAUUUGAUUAAAUAUGCUUGCUAUUUUGAAGAUUUAAAAAAAAAUUUGACAAUCAAAUUUACUAUCUGUACAUGCAAGUAAAUAAAUACUUCAAUAAAAAAUUGGCCAUUUACCAUGUAAGUAUAAACUUCAAGAUAUAAUUGCAAUUGCAUGCUGUGCAGGUUCAUGCAUUCAUUGCUUGAGCAUCUUUUAUGUUCCUAGUUAUAAACGUAUGUACAUGAUAUGAAUCUUGACAAGCAAUAACUCUACCUUAAAAUUUUAAUAAGAUUAAUUUCGGUUACUUUGCAGAGGAUUCUACACUUAAGCAUUCACAUCUUCAUUCAAUGUUCUUGACAUAUCAUAUAUCAACCACUAUUUAGCAGAACCUGAAUAUUUUGUAGUGGUGAGAUGCCAGUUCAUGGUUUUACUUUUAUAAUUGUUCAUAUUAAUUUACCAGGGGCCUCGUAGCCUGGUGGAUAGCGCGCAGGACUCGUAAUUCUGUGGCGCGGGUUCGAUUCCCGCACGAGGCAGAAACAAAUGGGCAAAGUUUCUUUCACCCUGAAUGCCCCUGUUACC